UGAUCUGUAGGGCAGGGCCAAGAGGAGG
rnacentral:piRNA from 1 species